CCUACGGGAGACAGCAGUGGGGAAUAUUGCACAAUGGGGGAAACCCUGAUGCAGCGACGCCGCGUGAGUGAAGAAGUAUUUCGGUACGUAAAGCUCUAUCAGCAGGGAAGAAAAUGACGGUACCUGACUAAGAAGCCCCGGCUAACUACGUGCAAGCAGCCGCGGUAAUACGUAGGGGGCAGGGGUUAUCCGGAUUUACUGGGUGAAAGGGUAGCGUAGGCGGAAGAUCAGGUCAGCGGUAAAAAUUCGGGGCUCAACCCCGUCGUGCCGUUGAAACUGAUGUUCUUGAGUGGGCGAGAAGUAUGCGGAAUGCGUGGUGUAGCGGUGAAAUGCAUAGAUAUCACGAAGAACUCCGAUUGCGAAGGCAGCAUACCGGCGCCCAACUGACGCUGAGGCACGAAAGCGUGGGUAUCGAACAGGAUUAGAUACCCGGGUAGUC
rnacentral:rRNA from 1 species